UUGCGUUCCCUACCUCCAGGGAAUUCCAAGUUCACGUGCAAAAAAACCUUUCGUUUGGCCAAAGGGAAAAAGAGAAAUCUUUUGUUUGGCCAAAUACAAGACAAAGAAAAGAAAAAAGAGAGAGAAAGAGAAAACCCUCUUCUCUCUUCUUGGAUCUUAAUCUUGAAAAAACAGAAAAGAAAAGGAGAAAGAGAAGCAAAGAUGUGCUGCAUUGGGUGUAUUGCUAGAAUUUGCAUGUGCAUUUUCUGCUCUGCGAUUCUGACAAUAGCAAUCUGCUUGCUAUUUGGGUUGGGGCCAGUGAAGAGGUUCACCAUUAUAAAGACCAGUCACUUCCAGGAUAGCUGUGAGCCAAGCAUGUAUGGCUCACUGUGCAGGCCUGGAAGACCCUUCUUUGACAUGGCGCCUCCGUCCUUCUUGGAUCAAGUUGCACCUUCACCAUUCUAAAGGGGCUACGUUGUACUUGUGGAUGAUGGAUCAAAGAGGAUCUUGGAAUUUAAUAAAACUAUUUUUACCAUGUAAGUAUGCUUGAUUUGUAUUGACCACAUUUGGAGGGAUUAUGUGUGAGUGUGUGAGGUUGUGCUUAGCAAAACAUUAAUUUCUUGUCAAUUGAGAA